GAUGAACGCUGACAGAAUGCUUAACACAUGCAAGUCAACUGUGGCGGACGGGUGAGUAACGCGUAAAGAACUUGCCUCACGGAUAGGGACAACAUUUGGAAACGAAUGCUAAUACCUGAUACUGUGGGAGAGGUUUGCGUCCCAUUAGCUAGUUGGAGAGGUAACGGCUCACGAAGGCGAGGAUGGGUAGCCGGCCUGAGAGGGUGAUCGGCCACAAGGGGACUGGGACACGACCCUUACUGCUUCGGGGAGCAGCGGUGGAGAAUAUUGGACGAUGGGCCAAAGUGUGAUCCAGGAAUUCUGUGUGCACAAUGAUGAUUUCGGAAUGUAAAGUACUUUCAGUUGGGAAGCGGUACCAACAGAAGAAGUGACGGCUAAAUACGUGCCAGCAGCCGCGGUAAUAC
rnacentral:rRNA from 1 species